CCUUAUGUUGAGAUAGAUGAAGUCACAAAUGAGUAUAAAGGACUGUCCAUUGAACUUCUAAAAGAAUUAUCACGCAGGCUUAAUUUUACCUAUGAAUUGAUAUCGCCACCUGAUGGAAAAUGGGGCGUGGCAUCUGGCAAUAACACUUGGAAUGGUUUGUUUGGACAAUUACAACGACGAGAAAUAGAUUUAGUAGCAGCACCUCUAGCUAUAGAUGCACACAGAGAAACAGUAUCAGAUUUUACACUGCCUUACUAUUACGAAAAAUCAGGAAUUAUCAUAAAAAAACCAGAUCCAUCGUACUCCACAAAAUUGUUUGAUCCAUUAAAUCCUAUGGUUUAUAUCUGUAUUGGGAUUUCUCUUCCAAUAACGACAUUUUUUCUGUUUCUUUUUGAAAAGUUUAACCCGUUUUACAGAAACGUUGCUGGUAGAAUGAAGAUCAGAGGACUGCAUCAUUUCUCUGAUUCGUUCUUUUACAUGUAUGGAGCAUUAUUUUGCCAAGGUGGAGAACAUGUCGCAGCUUCUUCAGCAGGAAGGACACUUCUGAGCUGCUGGUGGUUAUUUUGCAUCAUAAUGGUGGCUCAUAUAGUGGUAAUUUCGUGGCUUUCUUAACAGUUACAAAAGAAACAUUACCUUUUAAAGACGUAGAAGGAUUAGUUGAACAAAGUGCCUAUAAAUGGGGUACAGCUGGCGCCACUAUAUUUGAAACUAUCUUAAAGAAUUCGGAGUUACCAGAACGCAAAAAGAUUUGGAAUGGCAUAUUAAAAUUUAACCAGAGUGACCCAUCAGUUUUAAGUAGUGACCCGGCUGAACAAAUACGUAAAGUUAGAGGUGGCAAAUAUGCAUAUAUUGGGGACCGGACAUAUCUAGAUAUGGC